rnacentral:tRNA from 1 species
GCUCUGGGAUAGCUCAGUCAGUAGUGCAUGAGACUCUUAAUCUCAGGGUUGUGAGUUCAAGGCCCACAUUGGGUA